rfam:Papio anubis isolate 1X1155 chromosome 8, whole genome shotgun sequence.
UAUUAGGUUGGUGCAAACAUAUUUGUGGUUUUUGCCAUUGAAAGUAAUGCAAAAACCACAAUUAUGUUUGCACCAACCUAAUA